rnacentral:tRNA from 1 species
GGGGAUGUGGCUCAGUGGUUAAGAAUCCCUGGUUUCAAUCUCUGGCAUCAAAGUAAAUAAAUAAACAAUAAACCAAAAAUGAAAAUAAAUUAAAAGGGCUAGGGAUGUAAUUAGAUGGUGGAGUACAUGUCUAGCAUGCAGGAGGUCCUGGGUUCAAUACCUAGUACCAUGG